AGAGGGCAAUAGCUCAUUUUCGUAGUUUAGUCUGUAUUAGCUUUUAUUUGGAUCAUGAGCAGGAUUACCUUUUCUAUGAGCAUCACGGUGCGUUCACUUUUUUCUAGUACUUCCUGAUUGCUUGAUCUGCAAAGAUAUCAUCACAACAAAGCUAGCAUAAUGAAACAGUCAUAGGCUGUGUCCACCCUAUGAUAGGAAAAACAAUAUACGUUUCCCCCAAUAUAUCACUACAAACACAAAUCUCUAAUAUCAGUGAUAUUAAUGAUAUGCAUUCAACAUAAUUGUGCAGAUUAUAGACACUGUGUGGUGUGUUUUUUAACAUUUUAAGACAGGACAAUAAGAUUUAAGACAACAAGAUAACAAAGCCCCACUUUUGACCUCAAAAUGACUUGCUCUACUAGAAUGGCUAUAUCUCUGCAUAAGAAAAGGGUUGCUAGCUAGGAGGCUGAUGUUGUUCCCUGUAGUGACAGGGGUUUUUGAAAACAAUGAAAGGCUUAUAGCAACAGCCUACAUCCUGUGGGUCAGACUGGCAGAUAGAUAACCAGACAGUGUAACAUCCACCAGUGUUUUUGGCUGAUUGAGAGAGGCUGGAAAUCCAGUGGAGGAAUUCAUGUAACUGUCUCCUCCAAAGGCAGCUGUUGGCAGGAAAAUAGCUCACAUAGACAGUCUGUUAGCUACCUUCCUACCACUGAAAGGCAAAGUUAGCAACUAUCUGAACAGCAGUGAGGCUUUAAGCAGCUAAAUAGACGGUGAUUCUCUCAGGGUUUGUUGGAAACCAAAACUGAACAAGAGGGUAUUCAGUCGUGAUUCAGGCUCGAUUCAAAUGUAAACUACUCAGUGUGUUGAGAGAGCGCACACGGCUGAGAGAAAGUCACAUCUACUGGAGUACUGUUAUAGUAGUGACACUACAGGUGAGAGGACACACAAGAAG